GGUUCGAUUCCGGAGAGGGAGCCUGAGAAACGGCUACCACAUCCAAGGAAGGCAGCAGGCGCGCAAAUUACCCAAUCCCGACACGGGGAGGUAGUGACAAUAAAUAACAAUACGGGGCUCUUUCGGGUCUCGUAAUUGGAAUGAGUACAAUUUAAAUCCCUUAACGAGGAACAAUUGGAGGGCAAGUCUGGUGCCAGCAGCCGCGGUAAUUCCAGCUCCAAUAGCGUAUAUUAAAGUUGUUGCAGUUAAAAAGCUCGUAGUUGAAUUUCGGGAUUGACACAUCGGUCGUGCCUUAAGGGGUAUGAACUGGUGUAGUCAAUUUCUCACCUUCUGGAGAACCGCGAUGCCCUUAAUUGGGUGUCGCGGGGAACCAGGACCUUUACUUUGAAAAAAUUAGAGUGUUUAAAGCAGGCAUUUUGCUUGAAUACAUUAGCAUGGAAUAAUAAAAUAGGACGGCAUGAUUCUAUUUUGUUGGUUUCUAGGAUCACCGUAAUGAUUAAUAGGGAUAGUUGGGGGCAUUAGUAUUCAAUUGUCAGAGGUGAAAUUCUUGGAUUUAUUGAAGACUAACUACUGCGAAAGCAUUUGCCAAGGAUGUUUUCAUUAAUCAAGAACGAAAGUUAGGGGAUCGAAGACGAUCAGAUACCGUCGUAGUCUUAACCAUAAACUAUGCCGACUAGGAAUCAGACGAUGUUAAUUUUUUAAUGACUCGUUUGGCACCUUACGGGAAA
rnacentral:rRNA from 1 species